rnacentral:rRNA from 1 species
AACGAACGCUGGCGGCAUGCCUAACACAUGCAAGUCGAACGAGGCCUUCGGGUCUAGUGGCGCACGGGUGCGUAACGCGUGGGAAUCUGCCCUUGGGUUCGGAAUAACAGUGGGAAACUACUGCUAAUACCGGAUGAUGACGUAAGUCCAAAGAUUUAUCGCCCAAGGAUGAGCCCGCGUAGGAUUAGCUAGUUGGUGAGGUAAAGGCUCACCAAGGCGACGAUCCUUAGCNGGUCUGAGAGGAUGAUCAGCCACACUGGGACUGAGACACGGCCCAGACUCCUACGGGAGGCAGCAGUGGGAAUAUUGGACAAUGGGCGAAAGCCUGAUCCAGCAAUGCCGCGUGAGUGAUGAAGGCCUUAGGGUUGUAAAGCUCUUUUACCCGGGAUGAUAAUGACAGUACCGGGAGAAUAAGCCCCGCUAACUUCGUGCCAGCAGCCGCUGUAAU